rnacentral:other from 1 species
AUCUCCCUGCUCGGUGCGUGAGGCGCUUUGUUAAAACCCACAUUUCUUAAACGGGACGCCCACCUCGGGCCGCGGAUCGCAGGCCUCCCGGUCCGGCUUUCGCCGGCGCCGGAUGUUGGAAGCGGUGAAACGGUCCGGAGGCGACCCACCUGCCAUUCGUGCAGGUUUUUAACCUGGCCCCACGGCCAGAGCGGGGAUCUU